rnacentral:rRNA from 1 species
UGCGGGGGGAGCAAGCGUUGUUCGGAUUUACUGGGCGUAAAGGGCGCGUAGGCGGUAGCACAAGUCAGUUGUGAAAUCUCCGGGCUUAACUCGGAAAGGUCAACUGAUACUGUGCGACUAGAGUGCAGAAGGGGCAACUGGAAUUCUCGGUGUAGCGGUGAAAUGCGUAGAUAUCGAGAGGAACACCUGCGGCGAAGGCGGGUUGCUGGGCUGACACUGACGCUGAGGCGCGAAAGCCAGGGGAGCGAACGGG